GGCACAGUGGGCCAGAUGUAUAGUGAGGUAGAUGAAAAUAUUAUUCAUAGUUUUGGACACAGGUUGUUUAUAUUUUAUUUAUUACAUUGAUUUUAAUAAGAUAAGUGACAUUUGCAGUGCUCUUUUGAACAAAGCACAUUUUCAGUAUAAAAGCUUUUUUUUAAUAAAGAAUGUCACUCUCAACUUGAAGUUGUUCUUGCCUGUCUGAUGACCACCAGAUCCAUGCAGGCCUCUAGCCUCAGGACUGCAAACAGGCCGAAGGGACCCGUGGUUCUAGUUAAAGUUCUUUAGACAGAAAGUUAUUGUAAGUUGGAUUUAUUUCCAUUCUUCAAACUACUUAAAUGCCCACAUUGCCCCCUUGCAGCUCCUCUCAGAAAAUUAACUGCAGUCAAAUGUUGACCAUUGCUCAAGUGAAACAUUUUGGACCGAUGAAGUGGCAUAAAAUACCUUUUGUCUAUAGUUUGUGUUGUUUUGUUUCCAUUCUUCUGUACUGGCAAGUGCCCCGACUACUGUUGUUCACUCUUGCUGUACUGCGUUUUGAGAAGGUGUGGAAUUACCUGGCUUCUCUUCCAGGCUUGGAAAUCCAACACUGCUGCCAUACUGAGCAGGAUAUAUCAUGAUGCAUUCUCUUUAAUACUGAGGAAAGUAUCAUUACCUAUUGCUGUUCCCUUCAUUCUUGUACUAGAUAAAACACAGAAAUAGAGAAGAAACCAAACUGUUCCAAAAAAUGUAUAAAAUGCAAUUGAUGUACUGUCAAAUGUCAGAUUAUUUUUUUUUAACAAGCUUCGUAUUAGAAUCUUGAUCAGCUGUGUAGACCUAUAUAAAUCUCACUGUUUUAUUAAAUGCUGUUUAUGGUCUGGAAGGAAUGGUUAACCUAUCUCAAGAUUAACAAAUUUGCACUAACAUGAGCAAUAUUGAUUUGAAAAAAUAAUAUGAAUUCAAUAUUUAAAUGAUAAACUAUGAUUUUAAAGGUAUAUUAACACUGAAAGUACAUUUUGACAAAUAACAUAUUUAAGCCCAAAAUACAAAUGGUUAUGUCAAAUAACACAAAAAGAACUAUAACAAUAUAGAGUGAGAAAAAAAAAAUGUGUUUCACUGUACAUGUUGCUAACAUGUACAAAGACAAACUCAUAUUGACAUAUUUUCUAUUAAUAAAUCCUACUGUAUUGUGGAG
ensembl:lncRNA